rnacentral:rRNA from 1 species
GAUGAACGCUGGCGGCGUGCUUAACACAUGCAAGUCGAACGGAAAGGCCCUGCUUUUGUGGGGUGCUCGAGUGGCGAACGUGUGUGUAACACGUGAGUAACCUGCCCUUGACUUUGGGAUAACUUCAGGAAACUGGGGCUAAUACCGGAUAGGAGCUCCUGCUGCAUGGGGGGGUUUGGAAAGUUUCCGCGGUUGGGGAUGGACUCGCGGCUUAUCAGCUUGUUGGUGGGGUAGUGGCUUACCAAGGCUUUGACGGGUAGCCGGCCUGAGAGGGUGACCGGCCACAUUGGGACUGAGAUACGGCCCAGACUCCUACGGGAGGCAGCAGUGGGGAAUAUUGCACAAUGGGCGGAAGCCUGAUGCAGCAACGCCGCGUGCGGGAUGACGGCCUUCGGGUUGUAAACCGCUUUCGGUUGUGACGAAGCGUGAGUGACGGUACCGGGUAAAGAAGCACCGGCUAACUACGUG